AUUGAACGCUGGCGGCAGGCCUAACACAUGCAAGUCGAGCGAGCGGCGGACGGGUGAGUAAUGUCUGGGGAACUGCCCGAUAGAGGGGGAUAACUACUGGAAACGGUAGCUAAUACCGCAUACUAUCUGAUGAACCCAUAUGGGAUUAGCUAGUAGGUGGGGUAAAGGCUCACCUAGGCGACGAUCCCUAGCUGGUCUGAGAGGAUGAUCAGCCACACUGGAACUGAGACACGGCCCAGACUCCUACGGGAGGCAGCAGUGGGGAAUAUUGCACAAUGGGCGCAAGCCUGAUGCAGCCAUGCCGCGUGUAUGAAGAAGGCCUUCGGGUUGUAAAGUACUUUCAGCGGGGAGGCGUUACCCGCAGAAGAAGCACCGGCUAACUCCGUGCCAGCAGCCGCGGUAAUAC
rnacentral:rRNA from 1 species